rnacentral:rRNA from 1 species
AUUGAACGCUGGCGGCAUGCCUUACACAUGCUAGUCGAACGGCAGCAUGAUCUAGCUUGCUAGAUUGAUGGCGAGUGGCGAACGGGUGAGUAAUACAUCGGAACGUGCCCUGUAGUGGGGGAUAACUAGUCGAAAGAUUAGCUAAUACCGCAUACGACCUGAGGGUGAAAGUGGGGGACCGCAAGGCCUCAUGCUAUAGGAGCGGCCGAUGUCUGAUUAGCUAGUUGGUGAGGUAAAGGCUCACCAAGGCGACGAUCAGUAGCUGGUCUGAGAGGACGAUCAGCCACACUGGGACUGAGACACGGCCCAGACUCCUACGGGAGGCAGCAGUGGGGAAUUUUGGACAAUGGGCGAAAGCCUGAUCCAGCAAUGCCGCGUGUGUGAAGAAGGCCUUCGGGUUGUAAAGCACUUUUGUCCGGAAAGAAAUGGCUCUGGUUAAUACCUGGGGUCGAUGACGGUACCGGAAGAAUAAGGACCGGCUAACUACGUG